rnacentral:rRNA from 1 species
UACGGGGGGGCAAGCGUUGUUCGGAAUCAUUGGGCGUAAAGGGUGCGUAGGCGGCGCGGUAAGUCGGGUGUGAAAUCUCGGGGCUUAACUCCGAAACUGCAUUCGAUACUGCCGUGCUUGAGGACUGGAGAGGAGACUGGAAUUUACGGUGUAGCGGUGAAAUGCGUAGAUAUCGUAAGGAAGACCAGUGGCGAAGGCGGGUCUCUGGACAGUUCCUGACGCUGAGGCACGAAGGCCAGGGGAGCAAACGGG